rnacentral:rRNA from 1 species
CCUACGGGAGGCAGCAGUGGGGAAUAUUGGACAAUGGGGGAAACCCUGAUCCAGCAACGCCGCGUGAGGGAUGAAGGAUUUCGGUAUGUAAAGCUCUAUUAGCAGGGAAGAAAAAAAUGGCGUUACCUGACUAAGAAGCCCCGGCGAACUACGUGCCAGCAGCCGCGGUAAUACGUAGGGGGCAAGCGUUAUCCGGAUUUACUGGGUGUAAAGGGAGCGUAGACGGGGAUGCAAGUCUGAAGUGAAAGGCGGGGGCUCAACCCCUGGACUGCUUUGGAAACUGUAUGGCUGGAGUACAGGAGAGGUAAGUGGAAUUCCUAGUGUAGCGGUGAAAUGCGUAGAUAUUAGGAGGAACACCAGUGGCAAAGGCGGCCUACUGGACUGUAACUGACGUUGAGGCUCGAAAGCGUGGGGAGCAAACAGGAUUAGAUACCCUAGUAGUC